GCCAGGCCUUGGCUCGGCUCGCCUCUCCUCACUUUCCUUCUGCGGGAGCUCGCUGCCGGCGCUCAGGUGUCAUGCCACGCCCCGCAAGAUGUUCACACAAUUUAUGGAACACCAGCAGUUCAGCAUGCAGAACUACCCCCACCAAGGAUGCAACCUGCAGUAGAAGCUCAAGAGUCUUAACCACUGGACCACUAGGAAGUCCUGCAUUUUGACUAUUUUAAUCGACCAUAGACACUGGAAUACUCUCAAGUUUGGGAAGACAGCUCACUUUGGAGAUUCAAAGGCCUGGAUUUGCUUCCAGAUUCACCGCGUCCUGGCUGUGUGAGCCAAUCAUCAGAAAAGAGCGAAUUGGUUAUGGUGGUGGAUUGGAAGCUGGGUGGCGGCUAGCUCUCUGUCUCCGGCCUGGACUGCAGGACUCUGAGAAUCCAGCCCUCAAGCCACCCCUCUGAGUCUGCAGCAGGGCAGGAAUACACCUUCCCGUCUGUUUUCUAAGGGCGGCAAAACUCCUGCACAACAAGUAGUCUCUUCAUGGAGCUACUUGGAAGUAAAGCCAUCACUUCAAUCAGUUUUGCUAUCUGUUGCUCUUAUUGAUAUGCUUCGGUGCCUGCUCUGCCCUGUUCUCCAGAACUCUCCAAGUCUUCUUCUUCCCUGGGUCUAAACUGAGUUUUGGGGGAAACUACUUUUCCUACUAGCUACUACUCUGACAGGGUUUAUAAUCCAGUGGGGGAGGAUCUCAGCUUCCUGGGUUUGAAUCCUAAUUCUAGGGUUCACUUUCUAGCCCUAUGACCGUGAUCAACUCCCUUAAUCCCUCUGUGCCUCAUUUUCCUUAUCUGCAAAAUGGGGAUAAUAAUAUAUUCUGUCUCACAGGGUUGUUCAAGAUUAAGUAAGUUCAUUUAUAUAAACUACUUAGCAUAGUG